rnacentral:lncRNA from 1 species
UCAAAUUCCUGACUGCAGGUGAUCCACCCACCCUGGCCUCCCAAAAUGUUGGGAUUACAGGCAUGAGCCACUGCGCCUGGCCAACUCAGAACCACUGCUUCUGAGCUGCCUAAGACAAGCAUGCCUAAUUUCACUAUUCUUAUGUGACAUAGUGCUAGAAGUCCCUGCAGAGCAAUUAGGCAAGAGAAAGCAAUAAAGGGCAUCCAAAUUGAAAAGAAUGAAGUCAGAUUACUCUGGUUUGCAGAUGACGUUAUCUAAUAUUUAGAAAAAUCUUGUCGGGGCUCAUACCUGUAAUCCCAGCAGUUUAGGAGGCUGAGGUAGGAGGAUCACUUGAAACCUGGAACUCAAGACCAGCCUGGACAACAUAGUGAAACCCUAGACCCCAUCUCUACAAAAAAGAUUUUUUUAAAAAAAUAGAGAAAUGUUACUGGACAUUGGUCUGGACAGAUUUUUUAGGUAAGAUCUCCAAAACCCAUGCAAUUAAAGCAGUAAUAGGCCAGGCACAGUGGCUCACGCCUGUAUUCUCAGCACUUUGGGAGGCCGAGGCGGGCAGAUCACAAGGUCAAGAGAUCAAGACCAUCCUGUCCCACAUGGUGAAACCCCGUCUCUACUAAAAAUACAAAAACUAGCUGGGCACGGUGGUGCAUUCCUGUAGUCCCAGCUACUUGAAAGGCUGAAGCAGGAGAAUCAUGAAUCGCUUGAACUCGAGUAGCUGGGAUUACGGUGCACACCACCAUGCCCAGAUGAUUUUGGUAUUUUUAGUAGAGACAAGGUUUUACCAUGUUGAUCAGGCUGGUCUCGAACUCCUGACCUCAGAUAUGGAGAUAGCUUAUCUACAUUCUUACAUUAAUGGCUACCCUCUGCAUGGCUGCAAAAAAAAAAAAAAAACCACACACACACACACAAAACAAAAAACAAAACCCGCUGCGAGUCUGCACGAGAAAAUCGGGUUGCCAGACUCUAGGACUCAGCUGCCCGCCCCCUCGCCUAGCUGUCGGAGGCUAAAUAAACAGCUCCCGAAGCAGUGUUUGGCACAGUGCACGGUCGGAGCGUGGACACUAAUUUCCGCCCACGCUCCCCACGUCCUGGUCGGGUCACCACAGAACACGACGUCCAGUACUGGGGUCCUCGACGAUGCCCGUGUGCGCACUCCCGCACAUCUCAGGUCAGAUGACCACUAACUUCGUGGCCACGCUCUGCGAAGCUAAGGGGGAAAAAGCUUCCUUGGCACAAAG